rnacentral:lncRNA from 1 species
UAGUGGUGCUGGUGGACAGACCAGAAAGCCAUCAAUUACUUACACAUUUUUUUUAUCUAUUCAGAUUCGUUUGAAGGUAUGGAGACCAUCUGCCUUAUUCCGGCCAUGAGCAGCACUACUAAGAAAACAAGUCAGAAGUGGAAUCAUAAUUCUCUUCUCAUGCCAAGUUUGCCAGAGGCAUCCCGUGUCAUUUUGAACAGUCUGGACACAUGCAAAAUGGAUGACUAAUGGUCACAGUACAGGUUUUAUUCCAUUAGAUUAUGUCAUCGGUAGUUUCAGUAUUUUCCCUGGAGGACUUCUUCACUUCUUUAUAUUUAAAGGGUAUUUCUGCAUAAAUGAGCAUUUGUUAUUUUACAGGUUUGCAAGAUGCACCUUGCCUGACCAAGCAGAGCCUUCAAGGUCUGGUUGCUGGUCCCUACAGUCAGGAGUGCACUGGGGCCAACAUCACAGUGCCUAAAAUAUGGUUUACAGCCACACAUGAAUGAGCCCCAUGAGUGAGGGCUUGCCUUCAUCCAGAGGGAGGAAGCAGAGACAUACACGGGAGUGAUCUGAGUCCUUUCAGCCCAGCUGAGCUCCAGGGACACUGCCUCCUGUUCCUCACUUAUUGAGGUCUCCACGUGCAAAGAGGUCUCAUCUGCACGUCCCAUAUGCAAGUCUGGCUGUUUCCAGUGUUUUCUGUGAAUGUAAUCCCAACAAGUUGUUUUCAAACCUUGUCCUGGCAAUACAGACCUUGACACCUCAGCAGAAGCCCUUUCUAGAAGUGCAGAAAAUGAUCCUGAUAGAAUUAAACCAUGUUCUAUAUUUUCAGCCUGAGAAGAAUCUGUAAUUAGACCUGAGAUCACCAAAUGGGUAAAACUCUUCACGCCCAGAAGCGUAUGAGUGCAUUUACAAAGGGGUUAAUCUCCGUGCCAGCUGAGCUGUUUGCUGGGAAUCCUCUGACAGAUGCCUGAGGGACAUCAUGCCUCAUGUUUAUGCUCUCCCAUGAAUUGUUUUCCUCACUGUAAAUGUGAGAUUAUGUAAACCUCUGCCAUUGAUGACUGAUUGUGCCUCCUUUGGGAAUGCUUUUAAGGGUACACAAAGUACCCUUUCCCAAAGUUACCUAUAAUGAGUGAUACUUGGAAAGGGAAAGAACAUUUUCUUAC